UUCAGCAGGAAAUAUCCGGUCAGAAAAGAUCAGUUUCAACUAAGAUCAACGGAAUGGCACGGCGAUUCUACAUGAAACGACGAGUCGAAAAAAUAAAAUAACCUUUUUCCAUUCAGACUUUCGUACGGAUCCUCUCUUUUCUGUAUAGAUACGCGUGUUGAUAGCCAGCCAGCGAUUGUUUUAUCGUAUUUUAGAUGCUCUCGAAUAGGAACCUAAGCAAACCUGAUCGAUCACGACAGAAACGGUCCGUCAUUGAGAUAAAGUAUGAUUUUAUGCGGCCAUCAAAAAUGAACCAUCAGAUGCCGAGUUUAUUCGUCUGAUGUUCAAUAACCUUGACCCGAUAUUCGGAUAACUGACUGGCAAGGCUAACGACUCAACUUGACCGAUUACAUUAAGGCUACUUCGUGCUCGCGGUCAACCGUAUAAACGAUCUUUUCUUUUUUUUUUUUUUUCUUUGUCGUAAUACAGGUAGUGAAAGUACACCGAGAUACAAUCAAUUUUCUUGCAUAUUCGUUCGAGACAUAAUUGUAUAUAACAUUAAAUAAAAACCAAAAUCGUUUGUACGAUUAACAAUUAUCUCAUAGAUUCUAUUAAGAAUCCUUUAAGAUUUCGAAUUUGAAAUCUUUCCUUUCCUUUCCUUUAGAGAAAAAGCUCCGUAAAACUCAAGUAAUUUAAUUUUCAACAAUACGUCAUUUGUAUUUCUAUCUAUUCAGGGUAAGGUAUUAUUUAAUGUUCUGGUUUGAUUCAACAGAAUCAUAGAAGUGCGUGUACGUAGAUUUUUCUGGUUCUGUAUAUUUCUUCUCUGGAAACCAUCCGACAGAUACCGUAUACUGUUAUUGAAUAUUGUUUAAUAAUUCAAUAAUAUUGGUCGCUUUUUCUACCGUAAAAGUUAUCGUAAUUCAUCAAUUUGAUAAAAUUGUCGUCUGUCAAUUUGGUAAUCUGUCUUUCGUACACGUUUUGUACACGAUAAAAAAGUAAGUGGAAAGUAAAUCCGCAUUCGCGGUCAGGACACGGUUCGCCUUCCGGACCUUCUACGAUUUCAAAAACAUGCACAGGUGCACACAGCCUGACUGUGUACACCUUAUGUACGUAUUUAUGACUCAAGAUUUCAUCUAACAUUUCCAAUUUGUAUAAUAUAAAACACAUAGGUAUAAAAAAUAUUAGGCUCUAGAUGGUGAAAGGCGUUUAUAAACAUACCAUCCGCGAUUAAUUGUCAGAAUCUUUGAUUUUAUUCACCCUGAUUUACUACGAACAUAAAAAGUGAACUCGCUCAGUUUUCAAGAUAUUCGCGAAGAUUGACGUUAAACGUCCAUAAGUGAGAGAAUUGGAGGAAGUAGGAAAAUUGAAAUAUAUGGACUACAUUUUCAGUAGCAGCGGCAGAAAUACCAGGGGCGUCUGAAACAGUUGAUAGGGAAAGGAAACUUAGCUAUCUUACGGAGAAAGCACCUAGAGAGGAUUCUAUGAAAGUAUCUAAAGUGCGACGUUGGUAUUGGAUUGAUACACGCCGGACCACACCUGCUAUCACGAGAAAUAAAAAUAGAGAUAGAGAUUGAGAAUAUGCUGAGCUAUGCAAGGGCCAUUAAAUUUGAAGUAAGAGCCGAAGAGGCUAGAGGAAGGACUCUAGCCAAGGAGACUGUAAAAGAAGGAAGAAAGGAAUUGAGGAAGACAGAUAGCGAGAAAGAUAGGGAGAAAUGUGUAGAAAGGUGUGGAUAUAGCAAGGAAGGAAUACGAUAUUUGGCGAGAAUGUGUGCUUAAGGAAAAGGGACGAGGAAGAGCAGCAACGAACAAGCAGCGGCAACAACAAUUCGAUAGAAUAGCGGUAGGUAUAAAGAUUAAAGAUCAGAGGCGUUACUAAGGUAGUCAUUUAAUAAGGGAAGUAAGGGAAACCAAAGACUAGUAGCUAGAGAGCGGCGUGCGGAAAUUUGAAGGAAGAAGGAUCUGGUAUGAUGCGAAACUCGCAGUACGUUUGUUACGUGAAGGUCGGACGGGAUCGUUGGAGUAGUACGGUGAAACUAAAAGAAGGAAUAUAUAUGUAGGGUGUUUGGCUACAGGUGUCAGGAAAUUUAAAGGGUGGUUCUCGAAGCCAAAAUAACGCGAUUGAAAUUCGGCCAAAAUAUCCCUGAACGCGAGCAAACCUCCUUACACGAGCGAAAAAAAGGUGAGACUAAGGAGUGGGUGCACAGUAAUCCCCAAACCGAAUGACACACGGGGCGGCAGCUUAGUACGAUACUUACUCGUACAAGUCGUAGAAAAGAAGGCCAUGAUAUUUAGAGACGUAAACGGCUCCGCGCGACAUUUUCCAAAAGAAAUGGUAGAUCGAACGUUAAACCUGGUUACCUUAUAUACUUUUCAUAUAUAUAAAGGUUCACCAUUAAGAACAUAAUCUUAUUCGUAAUUGUUACUGAACAUUGUCUUACAUAUGUUUUCUAUUCCUCGAUUUCAUCAGUUCGGCUGUUUGACUUUACGUUAAAUUCGUUUCAAGAUCCAGCGUUGCGAGAUUGUUUUUGCAAUUUUUUCGAUUAGCGUUGCGUUAAUAAAUUAUCGCCUUCUUAUACGUAGCGCUGGCGUUUGUGAAAUGCCCAAAUUUCUUCCAUUGCGACUGUGGAAAUCUGUUUCUCGAUCACCUGAUUCAGCCAAGACGAUAAGCACAGAGAUGAUCGAGCACCAGCAGCUUUGUACGUGACCGCAAUUCGACAUCUCGAUAUUGGCGUUGCCUAUAUAUCGAAACAUGAGUGCACGGAUUAGUAUUUAUUAGCGUUGCGUGAACAAUUAUAACACUCCACUGCGGUGUAUACUUUCGCGAAUCUUCACUUUUUUUUUUUUUCCUAUUUCCUUUUUGUCAGUAGCAAAUUUAAAUAACGUUGCACGUGUGAUAAAGCGCUCCCCGCGAUUUAUUUCGAGAAAUUUAUAUCUUCUAGUUAUGGACUUGAUAAAUCAGCGUUGCGAAACAGAGAGAUCACGAUUUGUAACCCACUCACUCACUCACGAUUUGUUCGGCAUUCUAUCGAGUGCGUCGCCCUUCUGGCUAUUGGAUCUAUUUCCUUUUCAGCAUCCUUUUCAGCGUUUGUUAAUGGAAAUAUCGUUGGACGAUAUAUCUAUCUGUUCGAUGCUGAUGAAUAUUUUUGAUACUUGUUAUCACUAGUGCUUAAAAUUAUUACAAAUGAUUUUAUUUCGUAAUUAUAUGCGUAUUGCGUUUCAGGGAAAAUGAGAGGCGACACAUUAACAUAUCUGAUCUACUUAAUUAAUUUAAUAUGAUAUAAAUAACUUUCUAGCAGAUGAAAAAAAGAAACAAAGUAGUGACAAUGAAGUUAAUAACAUUUUUUAGAGCGGAGUAUUGAUUUAUUGGAAAUAUUAUAAUGUUAUAAUAUUUAUUCGCAUUUAUUUUACUUCUGUUUUACAGUGUUUCCGAUGACUUUAUUUAAAUAGAUUUAGAUCUCGUGGUUAACGAGAAACCAGAAUUAAACUUCAUCAAUAUCAUUAUCAUGCAUGAUAUUCAUUCAAUUUGUGCUUUUAACUUCACAGAUAACAGAUUUUAUCGUUUCUUUUUUUACUUCUCGCUGUGAAAUCUGAUCUAAUUUAACCAUCUCUAUGAAACAAGAUUUAAAUAUCAUACUUAAAAUAUUAAGAUAUGAUUUAUAUAUCCAUUAAACAAAUAAAAGCUCCCCAAACAAAUUAACAAAUUAAUUUCGUAGUAUUGUCAUUAUUAUUACUUGUAUCGUAUUGUAUCAUCGGUAAUAUUAUUUCAUUUAACUAGUCUAUAUCUAUAAACAAUUCUUAAAAUGAUAAUUAAAUAAUAAAUACCUGUAUGUUUUUAUUUCUUCAUGUACUCUUUUUAGUGGAAACUAAAAAUUUUCUCAGCUU